rnacentral:rRNA from 1 species
CCGCCCGUCACACCAUGAAAGUCGCUUGUACCAGAAGUCGCUGUGCUAACCGUAAGGGAGAUAGCCGCCUAUGGUAUGACUGGUGACUGGGGUG